rnacentral:rRNA from 1 species
CCCUUCAUGGAGGGGAGUUUCAGACUACAAUCCGAACUGAGAACGGGUUUUGGAUUAUGUCAGCCCUCGACUUGGCUGCCCUUUGUUCCACCCAUUGGAGCACGUGUGUAGCCCUAGGAUAAGGGCAUGAUGAUUUGACAUCUUCCCCACCUUCCUCCCCGUUAUCCCUGGCAGUCCCUCUAGAAUGCCCCACUUAAUGCUGGCACAACAGGAAGGGUUGCGCUCGUUGCGGGACUUAACCCCACAUCUAACGACACUAACUGACCACAACCAUGCACCACCUGUCUCUCGAUCCCCCAAGGGAAAGAAACAAUUAGGAGCGGUCCAAAGGAUGUGUGCUCAGGUUAGGU